AGGGCAACCAGCUGAUGUAUUUUCCAAUGGAACCACAACUGGUAUUCCUGGUGCUAUGUCUCAACAGCCUAUCCAGUUUGAGGCAAAUGGCAUGCUUGAUGCUUGGGAAGAGAAUUUGGCUGUAAUAACUGCAAACAGAACUAAAGAUGAUGAGCUUGUGAUUAUACAUCUUGGAGAUUGCCUAUGGAAGGAAAGAAGUGAGAUUACCGGUGCUCACAUAUGCUAUUUAGUGGCGGAAGCCAACUUUGAAUCAUAUU
rnacentral:misc_RNA from 1 species